UGGGCUGCCUACUUCAUCUGUGGUUCUCGCUGUCUGUUUUCUUCACGUCUUUGGUUAACUUUAGCCUCUCCAGAGAAACACAGCCGGCGACCGUCCGGAUCCCAGGAGAUCCAGAACCACCGAUCCCGUCCGGAUUUAAAGCCUGGCAUCACCUCCUAAACCGAGGAAAGGCUCUUUGCUGCCGGAGUCACGCUUAUUCCGAAGUGACCUUAAAAUCGCCAAGACGUGGAAAGGAACGAGGAAAGAUAAGCAGAAAGGCAGAUUAAAAAAGUAACACUUAUGCAAAAAAAGACUGAGUUGAUUAAAGGACCCCAAAGGAGAAAGGGAUGAAAAAAGAUCUACUUCGGAGUAAAUGGGAGGAAUAGUUUUUUUUUCCUUCCUUACCUCCCACUCGUUUCAUGGUUACAUACCACCCAACAUGAUCUGCGUUUCAAUGCACUCCAAAGGAAGAAUGGAAUGAACUGCCAAUACCGUAAUAAUGUAAUAAUAUAUGAAAAACAGGCUACAGUUUGGGUCCAUUGAUACAUGGAAAGCCUACAUAAAAUUGUCUACUGCCAUUUCAGAGUCAUAGCCAACAUCAUAAAGAAGGGAAGCUGUACUAGAAAUUAAUAGGACCCAAAUCAGGAAUUCUGAAAUAAAUCUUAAAAUGUCUUCA